rnacentral:lncRNA from 1 species
GGCACCUGAGAGAGUUCUUAUCCCACCCUGUGCGGAACUCCUGCUGAGCAGAGUGGCUUUGUAUUCUUCCUUCCAACUCAGGCUGUUGGUGCACUGCUAGAGGGCUGCUGUCUCUGACACUGCAGUAGCCACAGUCGAGCUUGAGCUGGCUGGUCCAGCAGGGGCUGCUCCGCAGCCCUGGGGCUCAGACCAGAGCAAUGCUGUGAGAGUCCUGGUACUGGCCAGUGCAGAGACUGCACAUAGCAAGGGCUCAAUGAAGUUUACC